rnacentral:rRNA from 1 species
AUUGAACGCUGGCGGCAGGCCUAACACAUGCAAGUCGAACGAGUGGCGGACGGGUGAGUAAUUUUUGGGAAUCUAGCUUAUGGAGGGGGAUAACUACUGGAAACUGUAGCUAAUACCGCGUACCAUAAGAUGUGCCCAAGUGGGAUUAGGUAGUUGGUGGGGUAAAGGCUCACCAAGCCGACGAUCUCUAGCUGGUCUGAGAGGAUGACCAGCCACACUGGGACUGAGACACGGCCCAGACUCCUACGGGAGGCAGCAGUGGGGAAUAUUGCGCAAUGGGGGCAACCUGACGCAGCCAUGCCGCGUGAAUGAAGAAGGCCUUCGGGUUGUAAAGUUCUUUCGGUAGGGAGGCGUUAACUACAGAAGAAGCACCGGCUAACUCCGUGCCAGCAGCCGCGGUAAUUC